UAAUCAUUGAUUACAAAUAUAAUUGAUAUUAAUUCAUUGUUAAAAAUUAAUUUAAUGUGGCGCACAGUUAAAUAACAUUCGAAUUAAAUACAUUUUGGACAAUAGUCGCAACAAUUGCAGCAACCGAAGCAAUCGCAAGUGAUAUUAUUGAUUCAACACUGGCACAUGUCGAUGAUAGGAAUGAAACAGAUGCGGUUAAUUCAGUUACGCUGGUCAAUAUGACGACACAUGAUCCAAGUAAUACAAUACAAUUUUCAAGCAGCAGUGACAACAGCGUGAGUCGAGAUAUGCUUGAUGAGAUUGAGGAAACAUUCAAUAUAACAAAUCCAUCAUCAAUUAAUACAUCGUUUAGACCGACUUCACAAAUCAAUGAUUUUUUUUCAUCUACAUUGGAUGAGUUUCGAAACUUAACACUUAAUAAUAUUGUUGACGAUUCAUCUGAUGAAAAUGAUGAUGAAGAUACAGCUCAUAACAAUUUUGCGGAAAAUUCGGUUACAUCUAAUAAGAAGUAAACAUUCAUGUAACGUUUUCCGUAUAAUUUUACUCUGAAAGUAUAUCAAUCUUAGCCAUUCUGUGCCCAUUUCCGCGUGAAAUGGAACAUUUAGAUUAUAUAUGCAAGAUUGCAAUAAAAGAUUCCAUUGGAGUGA